rnacentral:ribozyme from 1 species
AAAAAAACCUCUGAAUAGAAGUAUGUAAUCUAAGAAGAAAAAAAGCAUGCAAAUACAGCCUUCUUUUUGUCCGUGUGGGCGUUUAUGAGCUUCUCGAAGUUUUGUUCUUGUUCUUCUUUUCAAUUUCGUGCAUCCGUUCCUUUUUCGCGCGAAGAAAAUCCUACAACAGCAAGACAGGGCAGUAAACCGAAACGCUGAAGAAAAAGAACUAUGAAU